UACGUAGGUGGCAAGCGUUGUUCGGAAUUACUGGGCGUAAAGCGCGCGUAGGCGGCUCUUCAAGUCAGGCGUGAAAGCCCCGGGCUUAACUCGGGAACUGCGCUUGAUACUGUCGAGCUAGAGUGUGGAAGGGGCGAUUGGAAUUCCGUGUGUAGCGGUGAAAUGCGUAGAUAUACGAAGGAACACCAGAGGCGAAGGCGGAUCGCUGGGCCAACACUGACGCUGAUGUGCGAAAGCUAGGGGAGCAAACGGG
rnacentral:rRNA from 1 species